AUCGAACGCUGGCGGCAUGCCUAACACAUGCAAGUCGAACGAGAUCUUCGGGUCUAGUGGCGCACGGGUGCGUAACGCGUGGGAAUCUGCCCUUUGGUUCGGAAUAACAGUUGGAAACGACUGCUAAUACCGGAUGAUGACGAAAGUCCAAAGAUUUAUCGCCAGAGGAUGAGCCCGCGUAGGAUUAGCUAGUUGGUGUGGUAAAGGCGCACCAAGGCGACGAUCCUUAGCUGGUCUGAGAGGAUGAUCAGCCACACUGGGGCUGAGACACGGCCCAGACUCCUACGGGAGGCAGCAGUGGGGAAUAUUGGACAAUGGGCGAAAGCCUGAUCCAGCAAUGCCGCGUGAGUGAUGAAGGCCUUAGGGUUGUAAAGCUCUUUUACCCGGGAUGAUAAUGACAGUACCGGGAGAAUAAGCUCCGGCUAACUCCGUGCCAGCAGCCGCCGUAA
rnacentral:rRNA from 1 species